GUGCCCGUAACUCAGUGGUAGAGUGUGAGAUUGCAAUCUAUAUCGAGAUCCGCAAUAUCUUGAAGCCCCGUGUUCGACCCACGGCGGGCACU